rnacentral:rRNA from 1 species
GACGAACGCUGGCGGCGUGCUUAACACAUGCAAGUCGAACGGAAAGGCCUUUUCGGAGGUACUCGAGUGGCGAACGGGUGAGUAACACGUGGGUGAUCUGCCCUGCACUCUGGGAUAAGCCUGGGAAACUGGGUCUAAUACCGGAUAGGACCGCACUUUAGUGUGUGUGGUGGAAAGUUUUUUCGGUGUAGGAUGAGCCCGCGGCCUAUCAGCUUGUUGGUGGGGUAAUGGCCUACCAAGGCGGCGACGGGUAGCCGGACUGAGAGGUUGGUCGGCCACAUUGGGACUGAGAUACGGCCCAGACUCCUACGGGAGGCAGCAGGGGGGAAUAUUGCACAAUGGGCGCCAGCCUGAUGCAGCGACGCCGCGUGGGGGAUGACGGCCUUCGGGUUGUAAACUCCGUUCGCCAGGGACGAAGCGUUUUGUGACGGUACCUGGAGAAGAAGCACCGGCUAACUACGUG